AAAGAUUAAGCCAUGCAUGUCUAAGUAUAAGCAAUUAUACCGUGAAACUGCGAAUGGCUCAUUAAAUCAGUUAUCGUUUAUUUGAUAGUACCUUACCACUUGGAUAACCGUGGUAAUUCUAGAGCUAAUACAUGCUAAAAACCCCGACUUCGGAAGGGGUGUGUUUAUUAGAUAAAAAACCAAUGCCCUUCGGGGCUCUUUGGUGAUUCAUGAUAACCUAACGGAUCGCAUGGCCUUGCGCCGGCGACGGUUCAUUCAAAUUUCUGCCCUAUCAACUUUCGAUGGUAAGGUAUUGGCUUACCAUGGUUUCAACGGGUAACGGGGAAUUAGGGUUCGAUUCCGGAGAGGGAGCCUGAGAAACGGCUACCACAUCCAAGGAAGGCAGCAGGCGCGCAAAUUACCCAAUCCCGACACGGGGAGGUAGUGACAAUAAAUACUGAUAUAGGGCUCUUUUGGGUCUUGUAAUUGGAAUGAGUACAAUUUAAACCCCUUAACGAGGAACAAUUGGAGGGCAAGUCUGGUGCCAGCAGCCGCGGUAAUUCCAGCUCCAAUAGCGUAUAUUAAAGUUGUUGCAGUUAAAAAGCUCGUAGUUGAAACUUGGGUCUGGCUAGCGGGUCCGCCUCACCGCGUGCACUUGUCCGGCUGGACCUUUCCUUCUGGAGAACCUCAUGCCCUUCACUGGGUGUGUUGGGGAACCAGGACUUUUACUUUGAAAAAAUUAGAGUGUUCAAAGCAGGCCUUUGCUCGAAUACGUUAGCAUGGAAUAAUAGAAUAGGACGUGCGGUCCUAUUUUGUUGGUUUCUAGGAUCGCCGUAAUGAUUAAUAGGGAUAGUCGGGGGCAUCAGUAUUCAAUUGUCAGAGGUGAAAUUCUUGGAUUUAUUGAAGACUAACUACUGCGAAAGCAUUUGCCAAGGAUGUUUUCAUUAAUCAGUGAACGAAAGUUAGGGGAUCGAAGACGAUCAGAUACCGUCGUAGUCUUAACCGUAAACUAUGCCGACUAGGGAUCGGGCGAUGUUUCUAUCUUGACUCGCUCGGCACCUUACGAGAAAUCAAAGUUUUUGGGUUCUGGGGGGAGUAUGGUCGCAAGGCUGAAA
rnacentral:rRNA from 2 species